UGGGGAAUAUUGGGCAAUGGGCGAAAGCCUGACCCAGCAACGCCGCGUGAGGGAAGAAGGUUUUCGGAUUGUAAACCUCUGUCCUUGGGGACAAAAAAAUGACGGUACCCAAGGAGGAAGCCCCGGCUAACUACGUGCCAGCAGCCGCGGUAAUACGUAGGGGGCGUGCGUUGUCCGGAAUUACUGGGCGUAAAGGGUGCGUAGGCGGUUUUUUAAGUCAGAUGUGAAAUCCCCGGGCUUAACUCGGGUGGUGCAUUUGAAACUGGGAGGCUAGAGCGCAGGAGAGGGAAGCGGAAUUCCUGUGUAGCGGUGAAAUGCGUAGAUAUUAGGAGGAACACCAGUGGCGAAGGCGGCUUUCUGGACUGUAACUGACGCUGAGGCACGAAAGCGUGGGGAGCAAACAG
rnacentral:rRNA from 1 species